rnacentral:rRNA from 1 species
CGGCGAACGGGUGAGUAACACGUGAGUAAUCUGCCCUUCACUUUGGGAUAACUGCCUGAAAGGGUGGCUAAUACCGGGUAUUCUCCUUGCACCGCAUGGUGUGGGGUGGGAAGUUUUUUCGGUGGGGGAUGUGCUCGCGGCCUAUCAGCUUGUUGGUGGGGUAAUGGCCUACCAAGGCUUUGACGGGUAGCCGGCCUGAGAGGGUGACCGGCCACACUGGGACUGAGACACGGCCCAG